rnacentral:ncRNA from 1 species
GGGUUUAGACCGUCGUGAGACAGGUAGUUUACCUACUGAUGACCUCGUCGCAAUGGUAAUUGAGCUUAGUACGAGAGGAACCGCUCAUUCAGAUAAUGGUUUUUGCGGCUGUCCACCGGGCAGUGCCGCGACGCUACCAUCUGCUGGAUAAUGGCUGAACGCCUCUAAGUCAGAAUCCAUGCCAGAACGCGACGAUACCUCCCGCACGUACAGAUGGACACGAAUAGGCUUCGGCUUAGCGUCUUAGCAGGCGAUUACUCCGCUGCCCUUGAAGCGGGUAGCGGAUUUCGCGAAUUGUAAUUUCAGCACGAGCGGGGUCAAAUCCUUUGCAGACGACUUAGAUGUGCGAAAGGGUCCUGUAAGCAGUAGAGUAGCCUUGUUGUUACGAUCUGCUGAGGGUAAGCCCUUCUUCGCCUCGAUUUCC